rnacentral:rRNA from 1 species
UGGGGAAUAUUGGACAAUGGGCGAAAGCCUGAUCCAGCCAUGCCGCGUGAGUGAUGAAGGCCUUAGGGUUGUAAAACUCUUUCGCCGGGGAAGAUAAUGACGGUACCCGGAGAAGAAGCUCCGGCUAACUUCGUGCCAGCAGCCGCGGUAAUACGUAGGGUGCGAGCGUUAAUCGGAAUUACUGGGCGUAAAGCGUGCGCAGGCGGCUUUGCAAGACAGAUGUGAAAUCCCCGGGCUCAACCUGGGAACUGCAUUCAAAACUGACAAGCUAGAGUAUGGUAGAGGGUGGUGGAAUUUCCUGUGUAGCGGUGAAAUGCGUAGAUAUAGGAAGGAACACCAGUGGCGAAGGCGACCACCUGGACUGAUACUGACGCUCAUGCACGAAAGCGUGGGGAGCAAACAGGAUUAGAUACCCAGGUAGUCCCUGAGCGGGCUGGCAAGGCGCAU